GAUGAACGCUGGCGGCGUGCCUAAUACAUGCAAGUCGAGCGAACAGACGAGGAGCUUGCUCCUCUGACGUUAGCGGCGGACGGGUGAGUAACACGUGGAUAACCUACCUAUAAGACUGGGAUAACUUCGGGAAACCGGAGCUAAUACCGGAUAAUAUAUUGAACCGCAUGGUUCAAUAGUGAAAGUCGGUUUUGCUGUCACUUAUAGAUGGAUCCGCGCCGCAUUAGCUAGUUGGUAAGGUAACGGCUUACCAAGGCAACGAUGCGUAGCCGACCUGAGAGGGUGAUCGGCCACACUGGAACUGAGACACGGUCCAGACUCCUACGGGAGGCAGCAGUAGGGAAUCUUCCGCAAUGGGCGAAAGCCUGACGGAGCAACGCCGCGUGAGUGAUGAAGGUCUUCGGAUCGUAAAACUCUGUUAUUAGGGAAGAACAAAUGUGUAAGUAACUAUGCACGUCUUGACGGUACCUAAACAGAAAGCCACGGCUAACUACGUG
rnacentral:rRNA from 1 species